CCUACGGGUGGCUGCAGUGGGGAAUAUUGGACAAUGGGCGAAAGCCUGAUCCAGCCAUGCCGCGUGUGUGAAGAAGGCCUUCGGGUUGUAAAGCACUUUCAGUGGGGAAGAAAGCCUUGGGGCUAAUACCCUCGAGGAAGGACAUCACCCACAGAAGAAGCACCGGCUAACUCCGUGCCAGCAGCCGCGGUAAUACGGAGGGUGCGAGCGUUAAUCGGAAUUACUGGGCGUAAAGCGCGCGUAGGCGGUCUGAUAAGCCGGUUGUGAAAGCCCCGGGCUCAACCUGGGAACGGCAUCCGGAACUGUCAGGCUAGAGUGCAGGAGAGGAUGGUAGAAUUCCCGGUGUAGCGGUGAAAUGCGUAGAGAUCGGGAGGAAUACCAGUGGCGAAGGCGGCCUUCUGGACUGACACUGACGCUGAGGUGCGAAAGCGUGGGUAGCAAACAGGAUUAGAUACCCCGGUAGUC
rnacentral:rRNA from 1 species